UUGUGGAGAAGGACGCCGAAGGUGGGGCUGAUGACUGGGGUGAAGUCGUAACAAGGUAGCCGUACCGGAAGGUGCGGCUGGAUCACCUCCUAACAGGGAGACAAUUAAUUGAUUGUGAUGUCUAAGUCAUUUAUUCUUAGGCCGCAAUCCUGUCACCUUAAGGUCGAUCGGUACCUCAGAUUUUUGAAUUAAUUUUAUAAUUAAUCCUUUAAUUUCAGUUCCUAAACUUGUCUAGGUCACACCCAACAAGGUUUCUCCUGGGCCAUUAGCUCAGGUGGUUAGAGCGCACCCCUGAUAAGGGUGAGGUCCCUGGUUCAAGUCCAGGAUGGCCCAUUCGUUGUUGGGGGUAUAGCUCAGUUGGUAGAGCGCCUGCUUUGCAAGCAGGAUGUCAGCGGUUCGAGUCCGCUUACCUCCACUGGAAUCCACCCUGGUAACUAAAUUCCGGAGAAAAUUUUGUAGAUGUGACUUAGAAUUGUCUAUUGAAAAAGAUCCUAGCUUCUUAUCAUCUUUUUGGAGUUGAUAAUAUGCUGGGCUCACAUGGAACUAUCCAUGAGAAUUCAGUAGAACCUUGAAAACUGCAUAGAUUAGAAAGAAUAAAGCAUCUCAUGGAUGCAUAAUUCUUGUUUGAUUUUUUAGCUUAAAAACUAACUGGUCAAUUACAAGAAUUCAUGUUUAAUUCUUGAGUAAAAGCCGAGCACAAUUAAUUUUGUGAUUGUAUUAAGGUCAAGCUACAA
rnacentral:misc_RNA from 1 species